rnacentral:rRNA from 1 species
CCUACGUGGGGCAGCAGUGAGGAAUAUUGGUCAAUGGGCGCGAGCCUGAACCAGCCAAGUAGCGUGAAGGAUGACUGCCCUACGGGUUGUAAACUUCUUUUAUAAAGGAAUAAAGUGAGGCCCGUGUGCCUUUUUGUAUGUACUUUAUGAAUAAGGAUCGGCUAACUCCGUGCCAGCAGCCGCGGUAAUACGGAGGAUCCGAUCGUUAUCCGGAUUUAUUGGGUUUAAAGGGAGCGUAGAUGGGUUGUUAAGUCAGUUGUGAAAGUUUGCGGCUCAACCGUAAAAUUGCAAUUGAUACUGGCAGUCUUGAGUACAGUUGAGGUAGGCGGAAUUCGUGGUGUAGCGGUGAAAUGCUGAGAUAUCACGAAGAACUCCGAUUGCGAAGGCAGCUUACUAAACUGCCACUGACAUUGAUGCUCGAAAGUGUGGGUAUCAAACAGGAUUAGAUACCCUUGUAGUC